ensembl:lncRNA
CCUUUUUUUCCGAGCCUCUAAACACCACAGACCACCGCUGGUAUUUAUGUCAUGGAGGCGCAAAGCUGGUGCUCAAACUAGCAUCUUCCCCAAAGACAUUAACGUGAUACCUCAGCUUUACUUUAAAGCUCUACUUUACUUUGGCUCUCUUCGAAGGCGGUCGCAUUUUUCUCUCCCUCUCCUCCCCUUGACCUUCCCUGCUUGGCUUCUAUCGUCUUGUCUUGUCUUGUGCUAUACUUGAGAGACUCUCUCCGCAUCGCUCUUCGAACUAAAAAAACAUGGAUUUGAUCACUUGGUCUCUCAAUGCAAUUGACACCAUCUUCUCAACGAGAAGCUCGGGUUCGGGGAACCUGUCUGUCCUCCCGGGACGUUCGCAGCUGGCUACAUGAUGGACGCGUGGGAGCAGUGGCGUGUCGUGUGCCUAGCAGCCCUUUCCGUGGAGGACGUUGAAGACAUCUACCUAUUCGGAACUAUGAUUACAGGAUUUCUGCUGUUUGGAUUAGGCGCUACCCUGAUUUAUCGGAAAAUUAAGGAAACGGCGACACCUGUCAUUAGCCCCCUAAGGCUGCCCGAAAUGAUUGAUGCGCUGGGUAGAGUUGUGGGCACUCAGACUGUGGCUUCAAACCGCCAGAUUGAUAACAACAAGGAGAUGUUCACGGCUAUGCAAAUGAAAUUGGAUCGAAUUGAAGACCUGUUACAAAAAGUUGUUACUAAAAUGGGAUAAAAAAGGUCUCAAGAGUAGAGGCACAAAUUGAAUGCAGCUACUUGCAAGACCAAACAAUCCCAAUCUUAUCUGCUUUCGGCUCCCUCAACCGGAACGUGCCUUGGCCAAGGCCGUUGCUGGAAAAACAACUCCCCUGAAGAUUGCUGCAGUGAGACUCUCUCUCAUUCCCUUCCCCCUUUCCACAGACACCUGUGGAUUGUUGUCUCUGUCCAGGACCCUUUCAAGGAUGUCUCCAUGGCAACGACAAUCUUGCGAACUGAGAAUCUGUCUGAUUGUGGCCUGGGGGAAGGAACAACCCAGGCCUACUCAUACAUGAACUUUGCAUGAACUUUACAUACAUACAUGAACUUUGCAUACAUAUACACGUACAUACUACACACAGAUAUGCAUCCACGCCCCCAACCCCCCAUCCCACGCCUUCGCCUCGUUGCAAGUCUUGAGUUCUGUCAUGUUGUAAAAUGUAUGUGCUUAUGUGCUGAGGUGUUUUUUUCCUGCUCCCACACUGUACUCCUCUAGGAGCAUAGUCUGGGGGUCGCCUUUUUUUUUCUCCUCCCUUUCCUCAUGUUAUGCUGCAAUUCUUCCCUCAACCUUGUCUUCUCGUCCUGUACCCCCUUGUCCGAUGGCGCUUGUGUAGCGGCCGUGGAGAUCUCGUGCAGGAGAUAGUUUGUAUACUAUAGCCUACAUGGAGAAUACCAAAACAAAUUCCUAGUAUCUGUAUACAUGGCGAAAUAAAAGUUGAAUUUUCUCAUAGGUU